UGAGAUGAAUCCUAAAAAAUUCUCUAAACACAAAGGCUUGGUCCUGACCCUAAAAUCAAUUGUUACCCAACUUACACAUGCAAGUCUCCACACCCCCGUGAAAAGACCCUUACUUUUAUCUUAAAAAUAAGGAGCAGGUAUCAGGCACGACUUCUGCCCAAGACACCUAGCCACGCCACACCCACAAGGGCACUCAGCAGUGAUUAACAUUGAGUAUAAACGCCAGUUUGACUCAGUCACGGUAAAUAGAGCCGGCAAAUAUGGUGCCAGCCGCCGCGGUUACACCAUCAAGACUCAAAUUGAUAUUCAUCGGCGUAAAGCGUGAUUAAAGUAAAUUUUAAAUUUAGAGCAAAACUUAAACUAAGCUGUAACACGCCUGUUAUUAAGAAACCCAGAUACGAAAGCUGCCCUAAUUAUAGCCUCUUGAACUCACGACAACUAGAACACAAACUGGGAUUAGAUACCCCACUAUGCCUAGUCGUAAACUUUAAUUUACACCCACAUUCGCCAGGGUACUACGAGCUAAGCUUAAAACCCAAAGGACUUGACGGUGUUCCAUACCCAACUAGAGGAGCCUGUCCUAUAAUUGAUAAUCCCCGCUUAACCUCACCGCCCCUAGCCAAUCAGCUUGUAUACUUCCGUCGUCAGCUUACCACGUGAGCGAACUUCAGUAAGCACAAUGGUUCACCACCAAUACGUCAGGUCAAAGUGCAGCAUAUGGGGCGGGAAGAGAUGGGCUACACUCUCUAAUGUAGAAUAAACGAAAGGUCUUACGAAAUUUAGGCCUGAAGGCGGAUUUAGCAGUAAAAAGAAAGUAAAGUGUUCUUUUUAACUAGGCACUGGAACGUGUACACACCGCCCGUCACCCUCUUCAAAUAUUUACUUACUCCGUAUUUAACAUACCCCCACCACUAAAGAAGAGGCAAGUCGUAACAUGGUAAGCGUACCGGAAGGUGUGCUUGGAAACAAAAUAUAGCUUAACCAAA
rnacentral:ncRNA from 1 species